AGGAGGAAUAGCCCCAGUGGCGGGGCCAGCUCUGGAAACCUGGAUUCAGCUCCGGCAGGAACUCCGUCUGCAGGGCCUGGAGGCUCUGGGGCGGG
rnacentral:pre_miRNA from 1 species